rnacentral:rRNA from 1 species
AGUGAACGCUGGCGGUAGGCCUAACACAUGCAAGUCGAGCGGAAGCACGGUAAGAGCUUUCUCUUACGGUUGGCGACGGACGGACGAGUGAGAAGUACAUCGGAAUCUACUAUGUCUUGGGGGAUAACGGGGGGAAACAGCCACUAAUACCGCAUACUUCCUACGGCAUGAUUCAGAAGAGCAUGACACCCUUGCCGUUUCAUUUAGCCGGUGCCGGGUUGCAUUAGCUAGUUGGUAAGGUAACGGCUCACCAAGGCAACGAUGCGUAGCCGAUCUGAGAGGGUGAUCAGCCACACUGGAACUGAGACACGGUCCAGACUCCUACGGGAGGCAGCAGUGGGGAAUAUUGCACAAUGGGCGCAAGCCUGACCGAGCCACACCGCGUGAGUGAUGAAGGUCUUCGGGUUGUAAAGCUCUUUUGUUAGGAAAGAAAAGAAGCAUGUUAAUAUGUCGAUGUCCUGACGGUACCUAAAGAGUAAGCAACGGCUAACUUCGUG